UCUUCUGACGUCAAUACGUUUUGUACACGGCGCCCGUUUCCUGCGUCGCGCGACCUGUCAUUUUCCCGCGAAACCGUGUUCGGCCCGGCUUGUGCGAGGAAUGGCGGUUGCUUGCGAGUGAGUGCCUGUGAAGUGAGACGUUCGAUUAUUUUUUGCAGGCACGUGGAAGGCCAAAGUUGAGCAAUUGAUAACAUUUUUAUUUAACUGAAUGAGAAACGUUUUGUUAUGAAAACAACAUUUAUUACGAAAGAUCCCUAGCUGGAGUACAACUUGAUAUGUCCUUGGAACAUGGCCAUUUUUGGCACAUUUUUAACAAAAAUGACACUGAAUUUAGGAACUAAUUUAGUUUUUCUGUAAACACCAUUGUUACGCUUGACUGAAGCCAUACACUGCUUUUUAUGAUGCAGUUAAUCCAAGCCCUUCACAUCAGCUUUUGGAAGGCCACAAUGUUCAAGCUUUCACUCCACCUAAGCACGCUUGAAUAAAGGUGUUAUUUCCAACACUGA